rfam:Bacillus megaterium QM B1551, complete genome.
UACCCUUUUAAAUGGUAGUCCCGUGAGGCUGCAAAAGGGGGGUCACUAUACAAGGAAAACUAUACUGCGGUAUAGCGUUCUUCCUUGUAUGCUGAAAACCUCUUUGCCUCUGCGUAAAGAGGUUUUUUAAU